rnacentral:rRNA from 1 species
CCCUUAGAUGUUCUGGGCCGCACGCGCGCUACACUGAAGGAAUCAGCGUGUGUCUCUCCUCGCCCGAAAGGGCUGGGUAACCCGUUGAACCUCCUUCGUGCUAGGGAUUGGGGCUUGUAAUUGUUCUCCGUGAACGAGGAAUUCCCAGUAAGCGCGAGUCAUAAGCUCGUGUUGAUUACGUCCCUGCCCUUUGUACACACCGCCCGUCGCUACUACCGAUUGGAUGAUUUAGUGAGGCCCUCGGAUUGGUCCGGACUCGGGGGUUCCUCCCUUGGGUCCAGGUGCCGAGAAGACGGCCAAACUUGAUUAUCUAGAGGAAGUAAAAGUCGUAACA